AAAUAAAUUUUUAUGAUUUAAAAAUUUUAUUUUAAGUUUAAUUUACAUAUAAAUUUUAGUGUAAAUUUUAUUGUAUUUAAAAAAUAUAAUAAUUAUUUUUAUAGUAAUUAAUAUUAAAAAUUUAAGAAAUUAAGAUUUAGUAAUACAAAAAUUAAAUAACAAAUUUUGUGCCAGCAGUUGCGGUUACACAAAGAUUUAUUUAAAAUUUUUCAGUAAUAAAAAAUAAUAUAAAAAUUAAUAAAAAAUAAGAUUAUUAAGUGAAAUUUUAAUUUUAUUUAAAUUAAAUUUUUAGUUAUGAUUUUAAAAAAAUUUAUAAAUUAAACUAGGAUUAGAUACCCUAUUAUAAAAAAAUUAAAUAAUAAUACUAAAAUAGUAAAUAAUAAUUUAUUGAAACUUAAAUAAUUUGGCGGUAUUUUAGUUCAUUUAGAGGAAUCUGUUUAAUAAUUGAUAAUCCACGAAUAAAUUUACUUAAUUUAAAAUUUUAUAUAUCGUUGUUAAAAAAAUAUUUUAAAAGAAAAAUAAUAUUUAAAAAUUAAAAUAAAAAAUUAAUUCAGAUCAAGAUGUAGAUUAUAAUUAAGAAUAUAAUGGAUUACAAUAAUAAUAAAUAAAUGAAUAUUAAUUUUGAAAUAAUUAAUUGAAGGUGGAUUUAAAUGUAAUUUUAUUUAGUUUAAUAAAAUGAUUUAUAAUGGAAAAUAUGUACAUAUUGCCCGUCACUUUCAUUUAAAAAUUGGAAUAAGUCGUAACAAAGUAGAGGUACUGGAAAGUGUUUCUAGAAAGAA
rnacentral:ncRNA from 1 species